rnacentral:sRNA from 1 species
CAGCCCAGCAAACAGCAGCACUCAGCUAAAAGGAAGACUCACAGAAGACAGUUGAAGAAGGAAAGUGGCGAUGGACCUCAUCCCAAAUUUGGCGGUGGAAACCUGGCUUCUCCUGGCUGUCAGCCUGGUGCUCCUCUAUCUAUAUGGGACCCGUACACAUGGACUUUUUAAGAGACUGGGAAUUCCAGGGCCCACACCUCUGCCUUUGUUGGGAAAUGUUUUGUCCUAUCGUCAGGGUCUCUGGAAAUUUGACACAGAGUGCUAUAAAAAGUAUGGGAAAAUGUGGGGUAUCUCUUCCCUGUUUGGACCACAUUGCCCUUCAUCACAUGAAGACUUGGGUGGCUCCUGUGUCAGACUCUUGCUGUGUGUCACACCCUAAUGAACUAGAACCUAAGGUUGCUGUGUGUCGUACAACUAGGGAAUGUAUGAUGGUCAACUCCCUGUGCUGGCCAUCACAGAUCCCGACAUGAUCAGAACAGUGCUAGUGAAAGAAUGUUAUUCUGUCUUCACAAAUCGAAGGAUUUGUGCAACGACCAGCACCGUCAAGAUGCAGACCCAUUCCGUCACCAUGUGGCUCCCUCCUGCUGUCCUACAGUCACAACAUGGAGUUUGUCUUUUUCUCUGACAGUCUUUAGGCCCAGUGGGAUUUAUGAAAAGUGCCAUCUCUUUAGCUGAGGAUGAAGAAUGGAAGAGAAUACGGUCAUUGCUGUCUCCAACCUUCACCAGCGGAAAACUCAAGGAGAAAAGACAUCACAAAAUUCAUUACAAAAUGUCACUUACUGCUCCAUGCUGGAGAAAGCCAUAUCCUUCUGGGACUUGAGUCUGCACAUUUAACUACAGCAUCUUUGGGGCCUACAGCAUGGAUGUGAUUACUGGCACAUCAUUUGGAGUGAACAUCGACUCUCUCAACAAUCCACAAGACCCCUUUGUGGAGAGCACUAAGAAGUUCCUAAAAUUUGGUUUCUUAGAUCCAUUAUUUCUCUCAAUAAUACUCUUUCCAUUCCUUACCCCAGUUUUUGAAGCAUUAAAUGUCUCUCUGUUUCCAAAAGAUACCAUAAAUUUUUUAAGUAAAUCUGUAAACAGAAUGAAGAAAAGUCGCCUCAACGACAAACAAAAGCACCGACUAGAUUUCCUUCAGCUGAUGAUUGACUCCCAGAAUUCGAAAGAAACUGAGUCCCACAAAGCUCUGUCUGAUCUGGAGCUCGCAGCCCAGUCAAUAAUCUUCAUUUUUGCUGGCUAUGAAACCACCAGCAGUGUUCUUUCCUUCACUUUAUAUGAACUGGCCACUCACCCUGAUGUCCAGCAGAAACUGCAAAAGGAGAUUGAUGCAGUUUUGCCCAAUAAGGUGAGGGGAUGACCCCUGAAGAUGAAGGGAAGAGGUGAAGCCUUAGCAAAAAUGCCUCCUCACCACUCCCCAGGAGAAUUUUUAUAAAAAGCAUAAUCACUGAUUCCUUCACUGACAUAAUGUAGGAAGCCUCUGAGGAGAAAAACAAAGGGAGAAACAUAGAGAAUGGUUGCUACUGGCAGAAGCAUAAGAUCUUUGUACAAUAUUGCUGGCCCUGGUUCAUCUGUUUACUGUUAUCACAAUAAUGCUAAGUAAAAAAAAAAAAAAAAAAAAAA